rnacentral:rRNA from 1 species
UACGUAGGGCGCAAGCGUUAUCCGGAAUUAUUGGGCGUAAAGAGCUUGUAGGCGGUCUGUCGCGUCUGCUGUGAAAAUCCGGGGCUCAACCCCGGACUUGCAGUGGGUACGGGCAGACUAGAGUGUGGUAGGGGAGACUGGAAUUCCUGGUGUAGCGGUGAAAUGCGCAGAUAUCAGGAGGAACACCGAUGGCGAAGGCGGGUCUCUGGGCCGAUACUGACGCUGAGGAGCGAAAGCGUGGGGAGCAAACAGG